GACGCCGGCCCCGCUCUGGGCGUCACUGCGCGCCCCGGCUAAGCGCGCUCCGGCAUCCGUGCGAGACGCGCGCGCCCGCCGCCGCGGGGGGCUCCCGCCGCCGACCCGGGACUGGCGAGAAGGGAGGCGGCGGAGGGGACGCCGCGCCCGAGCCGCUCCUCUGGAUGGCGACAGAGACGGCCUGGCGCGCCCGCAGCCUGGGCACCCCGGGAGGACGGCCUGGCCGGGUGAAGUUUGCGGACUCGGGCCUUCCGGGUCCCCCUCUGCCGCCGCCGCCGAGGCCUGGAAGGCUGAGGGUGGGGGCCAGACGUCUCCUAAGGUUGGCGGCUGAUAGAACUCCUGCCCCGGGACUCACAAGAUCUCCAUCUGGCACAGGGGCUGGGGCCUUGAGCACCCCGCGAACUUCUUUUGGAGCCAGAGACGCUUUUCUGAGGAGCCAGUAGAGGGCCUGCGAGUCGGAUUGAGCAACCAGCGAGAAGCAGCGUCCUCCCUGCAUCUUGAGGCCUGGUCCAGAUUACACCUGCUCAAGUGACAACAGAAGGUGGACCCAGCCCAUCAUUUCUAUCUCGGUCCAGUGGAAAGCUGAUGAGUUGGACUGUAUGCCUCCGUCCUAAUGAGCAAGCGUGCACGGAGCCCCCGUCACAGCGGUGAUGGUGCUUUCACUUGACUCUGGCUGUCUCAGCUGCCUGCCGCCGUGUAAGGCAUGCCUUCCACCUUCCACCAGGACUGUGCAGCUUCCUUAGCCCCGUGGAACUGUUGGGAUAAUUUUUUUCUCCUUUUGUAAUGUUGAAAAUCUAAAGUAAAACUCAAACCUGCCUCCUUCCAAAAUCUAAUAUCAUGUGACUCCAGGAGAAGGGGUGACAGAGGAAGAGCCCUGCACCAGCUCCCCCGGUUCUACCCCAAGCCCAUGUUCCCAGAUUCUGUACGUCCUACGGGACGUCCCACCUGGAGCCAAGCACGGCCCCAGGAAGCCUUGUCUGAGAAGCUCCCGGCGCAUUGCGAUGAGGUGGGGCAGGUCCCUCGGGCGGAGGGUGUAUGCAGCAACCAGGAGGAUACAUCAGAAAAGGUGAAGAAAACAGCCUUUCAGUUUUUAAAAAGAAAAAAACAUUUAAGAAGAAAACCCCUAACUAGCACCCCACGCCAGGACGGACGGUCCCAGCGCCCGGGGAGCCUCUGUCCUCACUCCAGUCCUGUGUGCGCGGGAGGAGGUGCGUUCCUGCGUGACUCCCCCUGUGGCUGACUUUCUCCUCUGAGGCCAGCUAAAUGCUCCCCGGUGUGUGGUCCAUUGUUGACGAGCCUCAGGCCUUUAACUCUUCGUUGGAUUUGGAAGGUAUCUUUGCACCUGUGUGAGUCGGAAUCCAGCUGAAUCUUAACUGCGAAGGCUGCUUUCCCCAAUCUCUUUUGUGGAACCAUCCACCCUCCCGCGUUGUCUUGUAACUCCCUGUAACCUCUGCCUCCCGGGUUCAGGUGA